rnacentral:lncRNA from 1 species
UCUUAAUGCGUCGAUGGUGACAUUGAAAUGUCAAUGGAUUCUUGAAUCGCGUCGGCCUUGGAUCGCCAUUCCGGAGUGAGACUUCGGAGAAUUUUUCGGACAAGUUCCUUAUCCGUGAAGGUCUUCUUAAGUGCAUGUAAAUCAUUUACGAUUUUUGAAAAUUGUUCAAACAUCUCAUCGACCUUUUCGCCUUUCUUCAUGUGAAACAAUUCAUAUGCAUGGGUUAGGAAAUCAAUUUUGGCUUCCCUUACCUGGUCCCUACCUUCGUACGUAAUUUCUAGCUUGUCCCACAUUUGCUUCGCCGUUGUGCAACAAAAUAUCCUCC